AGAGUUUGAUCCUGGCUCAGAUUGAACGCUGGCGGAAUGCUUUACACAUGCAAGUCGAACGGUAGAGGGGGCAACCCCUUGAGAGUGGCGAACGGGUGAGUAAUAUAUCGGAACGUGCCCAGUCGUGGGGGAUAACGUAGCGAAAGUUACGCUAAUACCGCAUACGAUCUAAGGAUGAAAGCGGGGGAUCGCAAGACCUCGCGCGAUUGGAGCGGCCGAUAUCAGAUUAGGUAGUUGGUGGGGUAAAGGCUCACCAAGCCAACGAUCUGUAGCUGGUCUGAGAGGACGACCAGCCACACUGGAACUGAGACACGGUCCAGACUCCUACGGGAGGCAGCAGUGGGGAAUUUUGGACAAUGGACGCAAGUCUGAUCCAGCCAUUCCGCGUGCAGGAUGAAGGCCCUCGGGUUGUAAACUGCUUUUGUACGGAACGAAAAGGUUUCCAUUAAUACUGGGGGCUCAUGACGGUACCGUAAGAAUAAGCACCGGCUAACUACGUGCCAGCAGCCGCGGUAAUACGUAGGGUGCAAGCGUUAAUCGGAAUUACUGGGCGUAAAGCGUGCGCAGGCGGUUAUGUAAGACAGAGGUGAAAUCCCCGGGCUCAACCUGGGAACUGCCUUUGUGACUGCAUAGCUAGAGUACGGUAGAGGGGGAUGGAAUUCCGCGUGUAGCAGUGAAAUGCGUAGAUAUGCGGAGGAACACCGAUGGCGAAGGCAAUCCCCUGGACCUGUACUGACGCUCAUGCACGAAAGCGUGGGGAGCAAACAGGAUUAGAUACCCUGGUAGUCCACGCCCUAAACGAUGUCAACUGGUUGUUGGGUCUUCACUGACUCAGUAACGAAGCUAACGCGUGAAGUUGACCGCCUGGGG
rnacentral:rRNA from 1 species